rnacentral:lncRNA from 1 species
GUGUCGGCAAGCCUGGGAUAAUUUAACAGUAGUUUUCACGUGCAUUCCGCUUCUCCAAAAAUUUUCUACAGAUUGCGCGUGAUUUACGCAACGCAGAUGUGCAAAUUGACAGAUGCUGACACGUCUCGAUAAAGCAGAGGCCUCUUUAAUAUCCGGAAUUUACGCUUCGAGUUCUGAGCUUCGUUGAGGGUAGAGAUUGCAUGUGACAAGUGCUGACGAGGCUGAGAGAGACAGAUGGUUGGAAUCGGUGCUUCGACAGACUGCCCGUAAUUUUCGCAAAGCUGAGUUGCGUGUGAUGGGUGCUGACGAGGCUGAGACAGUUGACACUCUUCGGUAUCUGGAAUUGGUGGUUUGUGAGCAAGCCCAACUUUUGAGAAAGCUGGCGCCUCUUCGAUCUCCGAAUCGCUUCUUCGAUUUCUGAGCUCACCUCUUCGAUCUCGGAAAUCCCAUCGCGUGCUGAUUUUUAUAGAGGUAUGCAGGACGUUCAAAGCACUAUUGAAUUUCUGCCUGUAAAAACUCCCGUUUUGCACUUC